rnacentral:rRNA from 1 species
CACGUAGGGGACGAGCGUUGUCCGGAUUCAUUGGGCGUAAAGCGCGCGUAGGCGGCUCGGAAAGUCGGGCGUGAAAUGCCGGGGCUCAACCCAGGAACUGCGUCCGAUACUGGUUGGCUUGAAUCCGGAAGAGGAGUGUGGAAUUCCUGGUGUAGCGGUGAAAUGCGCAGAUAUCAGGAGGAACACCAAUGGCGAAGGCAGCACUCUGGGACGUGACUGACGCUGAGACGCGAAAGCGUGGGGAGCAAACAGG